rnacentral:pre_miRNA from 1 species
CUUAUACUUCCUCCGUUCGGAAAUAAUUGUCAGAUAAAUUAAUGUAUCUAGAUGUAUUUUAGUUCUAGAUAGAUCCACUUUUAUCCAUUUCUCCGACAAGUAUUUUCGAAUGGUGGGAGAGUACUAU